rnacentral:misc_RNA from 1 species
GAUGAAGAACGCAGCGAAAUGCGAUAAUUAAUGUGAAUUGCAGAAUUCAGUGAAUCAUCGAAUCUUUGAACGCACAUUGCGCCCGCCAGUAUUCUGGCGGGCAUGCCUGUUCGAGCGUCAUUUCAACCAUCAAGCCCCCGGGCUUGUGUUGGGGACCUGCGGCUGCCGCAGGCCCUGAAAAGCAGUGGCGGGCUCGCUGUCACACCGAGCGUAGUAGAUUUUAUCUCGCUCAGGGCGUGCUGCGGGUUCCGGCCGUUAAACCACCUUCAUAACCCAAGGUUGACCUCGGAUCAGGUAGGAAGACCCGCUGAACUUAAGCAUAUCAAUAAGCGGAGGA